rnacentral:misc_RNA from 1 species
GUGAAUCAUCGAAUCUUUGAACGCAAAUUGCACUCCCUGGUAUUCCGGGGAGUAUGCCUGUUUGAGGAUCGUUAGAAUAAAAAAUCGAGGCGUCGCUCUUGUUUUGAGGGUGAUCGCGGCGGAAGUGAGCCGUCGUUCAAAUGUUAAUUCAUGUCAAAGUUGCUUAAAAUACAUUCAUCCGGUACGAUUAAAACGUGUGUAAGAUCAAUUUUGUUCA